AGCAGCCGCGGUAAUUCCAGCUCCAAUAGCGUAUAUUAAAGUUGCUGCAGUUAAAAAGCUCGUAGUUGAAUUUCGGGACCAUCAUGUUGGUCGUGCCUCGGUACGUACUGGCAUUGUUGGUUUCUCCCUUCUGACGAACCAUGAUGUCAUUUAUUUGGUGUCGUGGGAAAUCAGGACUGUUACUUUGAAAAAUUAGAGUGUUUAAAGCAGGCUCACGCUUGAAUACAUUAGCAUGGAAUAAUGAAAUAGGACGUUUGAUUCUAUUUUGUUGGUUUCUAGGAUCGACGUAAUGAUUAAUAGGGAUAGUUGGGGGCAUUAGUAUUCAAUUGUCAGAGGUGAAAUUCUUGGAUUUAUUGAAGACUAACUACUGCGAAAGCAUUUGCCAAGGAUGUUUUCAUUAAUCAAGAACGAAAGUUAGGGGAUCGAAGACGAUCAGAUACCGUCGUAGUCUUAACCAUAAACUAUGCCGACUAGGGAUCGGAUGAUGUUAAUUUUUAAUGACUCAUUCGGCG
rnacentral:misc_RNA from 1 species